rnacentral:rRNA from 1 species
CGAUGCGUAGGGGUUCUGAGAGGAAGGUCCCCCACACUGGUACUGAGACACGGACCAGACUCCUACGGGAGGCAGCAGUGAGGAAUAUUGGUCAAUGGGCGGGAGCCUGAACCAGCCAAGUCGCGUGAGGGAUGACGGCCCUAUGGGUUGUAAACCUCUUUUGCCGGGGAGCAAAGUGCCGCACGUGUGCGGUUUGGAGAGUACCCGGAGAAAAAGCAUCGGCUAACUCCGUGCCAGCAGCCGCGGUAAUACGGAGGAUGCGAGCGUUAUCCGGAUUUAUUGGGUUUAAAGGGUGCGUAGGCGGACGCUUAAGUCAGCGGUAAAAUUGCGGGGCUCAACCUCGUCGAGCCGUUGAAACUGGGUGCCUUGAGUGGGCGAGAAGUACGCGGAAUGCGUGGUGUAGCGGUGAAAUGCAUAGAUAUCACGCAGAACUCCGAUUGCGAAGGCAGCGUACCGGCGCCCAACUGACGCUGAAGCACGAAGGCGUGGGUAUCGAACAGGAUUAGAUACCCUGGUAGUCCACGCAGUAAACGAUGAAUGCUAGUUGUCCGGGGCGAUUGAGUUCUGG